rnacentral:rRNA from 1 species
UUUUACGGGGAAAAACUUACCAAGUUUUGACAUCCGGGUGACAAUCCGGUUAAUGCCGGACUUCUUCGGACAGCCAGAACCAGGGGGGGCUUGGUUGUCUCCACCUCGGGUCGGGAGAGGUGGGUUUAAUUCCCCCACCAAGCGCACCCUUUGCCUUUAGUACCCAGCGGUUCAGACGGGCACUCUAAGGAGACUGCCCGGGAUAACCCGGAGGAAGGCGGGGAUGACGUCAAAUCAUCAUGCCCCUUAUGACUUGGGCUACACACGUGCUACAAUGGCGUAAACAAAGGGAAGCGAAGUCGUGAGGCAGAGCAAAUCCCAAAAAUAACGUCUCAGUUCGGACUGUAGUCUGCAACUCGACUGCACGAAGCUGGAAUCGCUAGUAAUCGCAGAUCACCAUGCUGCGGGGAAAACGUUCCCGGGUCUGGUACCCCCCCGAGA